CUACGGGUCGCUGCAGUGGGGAAUAUUGGACAAUGGGGGAAACCCUGAUCCAGCAAUGCCGCGUGUGUGAAGAAGGCCUGCGGGUUGUAAAGCACUUUCGGUUGGGAGGACUGCUUCUAGCACUAAUAUUGUUGGAAGUUGACGUUACCUUCAGAAGAAGCACCGGCUAACUCCGUGCCAGCAGCCGCGGUAAUACGGGAGGGUGCAAGCGUUAAUCGGAAUUACUGGGCGUAAAGCGCGCGUAGGCGGCUAGAUCAGUCGGGUGUGAAAGCCCCGGGCUUAACCUGGGAACUGCAUCUGAUACUGUCUAGCUUGAGUACAGGAGAGGAGAGUGGAAUUCCACAUGUAGCGGUGAAAUGCGUAGAUAUGUGGAGGAACACCAAUGGCGAAGGCAGCUCUCUGGCCUGAUACUGACGCUGAGGUGUGAAAGCGUGGGGAGCAAACAGGAUUAGAUACCCGAGUAGUC
rnacentral:rRNA from 1 species